rnacentral:rRNA from 1 species
UCAGGCCUAACACAUGCAAGUCGAACGGAGUAAUAAUUUGCUUGCAAAUUAUUGCUUAGUGGCGGACGGGUGAGUAACGCGUAGGAAUCUGCCUUAUGGUGGGGGACAACAGUUGGAAACGGCUGCUAAUACCGCAUAUUAUUUUCGAAUAAAAGGUGCCCCGCACCUAAAUAGUGCAUUGCUAUCUGUUAAAGAUAGAUAGUUUUUAGUGUUUUGAAGACGAAUAAUAUUUUGUUUAGAGAUGCAGUGUAUUAUUUAGGUGCGGGGUGUCGCCAUGAGAUGAGCCUGCGUUGGAUUAGCUAGUUGGUGGGGUAAGGGCUUACCAAGGCGGUGAUCCAUAGCUGUUCUGAGAGGAAGAUCAGCCACACUGGGACUGAGACACGGCCCAGACUCUUACGGGAGGCAGCAGUGGGGAAUAUUGGACAAUGGGGGCAACCCUGAUCCAGCAAUACCAUGUGUGUGAAGAAGGCCUUAGGGUUGUAAAGCACUUUAGUUUGUGAGGAAGGUUAUUGGGUUAAGAGCUAGAUAAUUUGACGUUAGCAAAAGAAUAAGCACCGGCUAACUCCGUGCCAGCAGCCGCGGUAAUACGGAGGGUGCGAGCGUUAAUCGGAAUUACUGGGCGUAAAGAGUUCGUAGGUGGUGAGAUAAGUCAGAUGUGAAAGCCCUGGGCUUAACCUGGGAGUUGCAUAUGAAACUGUUU